GCGACUCUCUGGUCUGUAACUGACGCUGAGGAGCGAAAGCGUGGGGAGCGAACAGGAUUAGAUACCCUGGUAGUCCACGCCGUAACGAUGAGUGCUAAGUGUAGGGGGUUUCCGCCCCUUACUGCUCAGCUUACGCAUUUAGCGUCCCCCCGGGGAAUACCGUCCCAAGAGUUAAACUCAAAGGAAUUUACCGGGGCCCGACAAGCCGUGGAACAUGUGGUUUAAUUCCAACCACGCCAAAAACCUACCAAGUCUUACCUCCUCUGACAACCCUAUAGAUAGGGCUUUCCCUUCGGGGACAGAGUGACAGGUGGUGCAUGGUUGUCUUCACCUCGUGUCGUGAAAUGUUGGGUUAAUUCCCGCAACGAGCGCAACCCUUGAUCUUAUUUGCCAGCAUUCCGUUGGGCGCUCUAAAGUGACUGCCGGUGACAAGCCGGAGGAAGGUGGGGAUGACGGACAAUCAUCAUGCCCCUUAUCCACCUGGGCUACGCGCUUGCUACAAUGGACAUAGACCAGGGCUGCGAGACCGAUAGGUUUACGUAUCCCACAUAUCUGUUCUCCGUUCUGAUCUCAGACUGCAACUCGACUGCGUGAACCUUGAAUCGCUAGUAAUCGCGGAUCACCGAGCCGCGGUGAAUACGUUCCCGGGCCUUGUACACACCGCCCGUCGACCAUGAGAGUUUGCAACUCCCGACUCCCUAAGGUACCUUUUGGACCAGUCGCAGAAGUG
rnacentral:rRNA from 1 species